CGUUGAAAAGCUUUCAUGUAAGCAAUAGCCUUUUAAGCUAUAGUCGGUGACUACAACCACCCUCAACGA
rnacentral:tRNA from 1 species